rnacentral:rRNA from 1 species
AUUGAACGCUGGCGGCAGGCCUAACACAUGCAAGUCGGACGGUAGCACAGGGGAGCUUGCUCCUCGGGUGACGAGUGGCGGACGGGUGAGUAAUGUCUGGGGAUCUGCCCGAUAGAGGGGGAUAACCACUGGAAACGGUGGCUAAUACCGCAUAACGUCGCAAGACCAAAGAGGGGGACCUUCGGGCCUCUCACUAUCGGAUGAACCCAGAUGGGAUUAGCUAGUAGGCGGGGUAACGGCCCACCUAGGCGACGAUCCCUAGCUGGUCUGAGAGGAUGACCAGCCACACUGGAACUGAGACACGGUCCAGACUCCUACGGGAGGCAGCAGUGGGGAAUAUUGCGCAAUGGGCGCAAGCCUGAUGCAGCCAUGCCGCGUGUAUGAAGAAGGCCUUCGGGUUGUAAAGUACUUUCAGCGGGGAGGAAGGCGAUGUGGUUAAUAACCGCGUCGAUUGACGUUACCCGCAGAAGAAGCACCGGCUAACUCCGUGCCAGCCGCCGCAGUAA